ensembl:lncRNA
AAAGUAUACUAACACGGCCCUCUGCACCCUCUUUCCUUUUUUCUCGCUCCGUUUCCCUCUUGCUCUGCUUGGCUAUGGGCUAGAGUAAUUGUCUCUGUGGUGGUAGUCUAUUUCCAUCCACUCAUUCAGGUGCAUCAUUCAGGCAUAAAGAGUCGGUCUGAGCAUGUGUGACAUCUCAUUACACUCAGAGAACCCACCCUGGUAUAGAGUGCAUAACUGCAUAUUUAAGCUUGCGUUAUGUUCACGGGAUAAUAUAUUCAUUAAAAUAUCAUUUAAAAACUAUUAACACAUGCACAGACAGCUUAAAAAAAAAAAAUCGACAACAUCGCCCCGUACAAAUAUUACAAAUGUUCCUACGACACAUUCAUUUCAAUUAAAUCCAUAUUAUCUGUUGUUCUGCAUCUGUGUGAUUAUAAACCAUUAUAGAGCUGGUCCCUUGAAUGAUGUCACUAAUCUAUCCUAGACAGUACUGUUGCUUCGUUAUGAUGAAAAGAUGAAAAACAGAUGGAACCCUGAUCUUCUCAGAGUUUGCUAUGAGGCAGGUUAAUGUUGCCUAGAAAAGUUAGUUUGUCAGAAAUUUUUCAAAGCAAUAAAACCCUGCUGAAAUCUCAGCGUGGCCUGUUAAAUGACUGCUAUGAAGACGUUAUUCUGUUUGAAUUCUGGAAAACUAGCCCAUAUUGAACAGUGGGCAGUAGUAGCUAAGUGGUUAUGAGAUUGGACUAUUGAUCAGACGCUUGUGAGUUCAAAUCCCGGCACUGUCAGGCUUCCACUGUUGGGCCGUUUAAAAAGGCCCUUACUCCACAGCUGCUCAGUUGUAUAAAUUAGAUAAAUGUAAGUAGCUCUAGAUAAGGGCGUCUGCCAAAUGCCAUAAAUGUCAAAUGAAGCAAAUCUCAUUAAACUCAACACCUAAAGACAUGUUCAGUUUCCGCUUUUUCCUGGUCAGGGUUACGGUGGAUCCGGUGCCUAUCAAGGGAACACUGGACAUGAGACAGGACACCAGUCCACGACCGGACAUCACACACGCAUUCACACCUGGAGCACAUUAGAGUAGGCAAUUCACCUACCAGUAUGUUUUUGGGAGGUGGGAUGAAACUGGAGAUCCCAGAGGAAACCCAGACAGACACAAGAAGAACGUGUGAAACUCUACACAAAGUUCAGGACUAGGACUUACUCUUAUGCCUUGGAUCAUUGUCUUGCUGCAUAAUCCAGUUUACAGACUGAAGACCAGACAUUCUUCUUUAGGAUUUUCUGCUAGAGAGCAGAAUUCAUGUUUCCAUCAAUGAUUGCAAGUUGCCCAGGCCCUGAAGCAGCAAAGCAUCCCCACACCAUCACACUCCACCACCAUGCUUGACCUGAUGUUCUUUUUGAGGAGUUUGGUGUUUAUGGCAGAUGUAACGGGACCCCAGUCUUCCAAACGGUUCCACUUUCAGCUCAUCAGUACACAGAACGUUCUCCCAGAAGGUUUGAGGAUCAUCAAGGUGUGUUUCGGCAAAAUUCAGACGAGUCUUAAUGUUCUUCUGGGUCAGCAGUGGUUUUCACCUCACCACUCUUCCAUGGAGCCGUUUUCCCCCAGUGUCUUUCUGAUAGUGGAGUCAUGAACACUGACCUUUAUCGAUGCAAGAGAGGCCUGUAGGUCCUGUGAUGUUGUCCUUGGCUCUGUUGUGACGUCCUGGAUGAGUCGUCGCUGUGCUCUUGGAGGAAUUUUGGAAGGUCGGCCACUUCUGGGAAGCUCACUACUGUGCAGAGUUUUUCCAUUUGGAGAUAACGGCUUCUGUGGUUCUUUGGAGUCUCGGAGACUUUGAAAUAGCUUUGUAACCCUUCCCAGACUGAUGUACUUCAAUCACCUUCUUCCUCAUCAUUUCUGGAAUUUCUUUCAACUUUGGCGUAGUGUCUUACUGGGUAAGACCUUUUAACCAACUUCACACUGUUGAAAAAAGUAUUGUGUUGUGAUUGGACAGGGUUUGCAGUAAUCAGGUCUGGUUGUGUCUAGUAUUGUGUGUUUCCUCAGGUUGCCUUUGUU